rnacentral:tRNA from 1 species
UGGAUCACCUCCUAACAGGGAGACAACACAAUGAUUUUGAUGCCUGAGUACUUUUAUUCUUAGGCCGAAAUCCUGUCACCUUAGGUCGAUCGGUACCUCAGCGUUUAAGCAACAGAGUUAACAGAGAUGUUGAUGCGUGUUGUGGAGAUGAUCAGUUCCUAAACUUUGUCUAGGUCACACCCCACAAGGGUUGAGUUUUCCUGGGCCAUUAGCUCAGGUGGUUAGAGCGCACCCCUGAUAAGGGUGAGGUCCCUGGUUCAAGUCCAGGAUGGCCCAUUCGGUGUUGGGGGUUUAGCUCAGUUGGUAGAGCGCCUGCUUUGCAAGCAGGAUGUCAGGAGUUCGAGUCUCCUAACCUCCACUGACCGAACUCAAUCUCCGGUUUUGCAUUGAAAGAUGGAGAACCACUCGAUUGUGAAGUGUGAUUUAGAUGUGUCCGCUGGAUGACCCCAGCUUCCUGUCAUUCCAAAUCAAAGUAAAUUAGUUUACUUGAAUGAAUUUGGUUGAUAAGAUGCUGGGCUCGAGUUCAGUGAUCAAGCAAUUGGUCAUUGAAUUUGAAGUCUGGCAGAACCUUGACAACUGCAUAGGUAAGUCUGGAAAAACAAAGCAUCUUACAGAUGCAUUGUUUUGAAUCUGAUCUUCUGAAAGGGAGAUUAGAUCUAGAACAAUGAAAUUCUUUUGAGCAAGAGCCGAGACUCAUGAGCGUUCUUUGAUUCGUGUCGAGCGAAUCAGAGUUUGAUCUUGUUUUAGGAAUCAGCGAAAGUUGAUGAUUAAAACUUGAGAAUCUGCUUUCAACGGCGGUAAGCGUUCAGGAGAUUAAUUGGUCAAGCUACAAAGGGCUCACGGCGGAUACCUUGGCACACAGAGGCGAUGAAAGG